rnacentral:rRNA from 1 species
UGCGGAGGAUGCGAGCGUUAUCCGGAUUUAUUGGGUUUAAAGGGUGCGCAGGCGGAUUUUUAAGUCAGCGGUCAAAUCGUGGGGCUCAACCCCAUCCAGCCGUUGAAACUGGGGAUCUAGAGUGUGCGAGAGGUAUGCGGAAUGCGUGGUGUAGCGGUGAAAUGCAUAGAUAUCACGCAGAACCCCGAUUGCGAAGGCAGCAUACCGGUGCACAACUGACGCUCAGGCACGAAAGCGUGGGUAUCGAACAGG